rnacentral:rRNA from 1 species
GCAAGUCGAACGCGGAAGCAACAGCUUGCUGGUGUGGAUGAGUGGCGAACGGGUGAGUAAUACGUGAGUAACCUGCCCUUGACGCUGGGAUAAGCCCGGGAAACCGGGGCUAAUACUGGGUGCUACAUGUCACCGCAUGGUGGUGUGUGGAAAGGGUUUACUGGUCUUGGAUGGGCUCACUGCCUAUCAGCUUGUUGGUGAGGUAAUGGCUCACCAAGGCGACGACGGGUAGCCGGCCUGAGAGGGUGACC